ensembl:snoRNA SNORD39 Small nucleolar RNA SNORD55/SNORD39
CUUGCAUAUAAGAACCUUGCCUCUCUACCGAGCAGUGGGGAAGCCAACCUUGGAGAGCUGAGCAUGAG